GGACCAAAGGUGGCCUCUACAUGUAAGCUAUCGCGUUGGGAUGGGCCCAGUUAGGAUUAGCUAGUUGGUAAGGUAAUGGCUUACCAAGGCGACGAUCCUUAGCUGGUUUGAGAGGAUGAUCAGCCACACUGGGACUGAGACACGGCCCAGACUCCUACGGGAGGCAGCAGUGGGGAAUAUUGCACAAUGGGGGAGACCCUGAUGCAGCCAUGCCGCGUGUGUGAAGAAGGCCUUCGGGUUGUAAAGCACUUUCAGCAGUGAGGAAGGUGGUGUACUUAAUAAGUGCAUGGCUUGACGUUAGCUGCAGAAGAAGCACCGGCUAACUCCGUGCCAGCAGCCGCGGUAAUACGGAGGGUGCGAGCGUUAAUCGGAAUUACUGGGCGUAAAGCGCAUGCAGGCGGUUUGUUAAGUCAGAUGUGAAAGCCCGGGGCUCAACCUCGGAACCGCAUUUGAAACUGGCAGGCUAGAGUCUUGUAGAGGGGGGUAGAAUUUCAGGUGUAGCGGUGAAAUGCGUAGAGAUCUGAAGGAAUACCAGUGGCGAAGGCGGCCCCCUGGACAAAGACUGACGCUCAGAUGCGAAAGCGUGGGUAGCAAACAGGAUUAGAUACCCUGGUAGUCCACGCCGUAAACGCUGUCUACUUGGAGGUUGAGGUUUAGACUUUGGCUUUCGGCGCUAACGCAUUAAGUAGACCGCCUGGGGAGUACGGCCGCAAGGUUAAAACUCAAAUGAAUUGACGGGGGCCCGCACAAGCGGUGGAGCAUGUGGUUUAAUUCGAUGCAACGCGAAGAACCUUACCUACUCUUGACAUCCAGCGAAUCCUUUAGAGAUAGAGGAGUGCCUUCGGGAGCGCUGAGACAGGUGCUGCAUGGCUGUCGUCAGCUCGUGUUGUGAAAUGUUGGGUUAAGUCCCGCAACGAGCGCAACCCUUAUCCUUGUUUGCCAGCAC
rnacentral:rRNA from 1 species